GUGCUGGUCCUUCUCACAAGGCUUAAGAACAGCAAUAUCCAGCGCUUGCUGAAUGUUGAGUUCCAAACCUCUAAAGGAAGGAAUACUGACCUGAACGAAACAGUGAACAAAGUAACCUGAAAAUAGAGAACGUUUUCACAUGCUUGAAUUUUCAGUGCAAUAAAACCAGUACUGCCAGAAGGAGUCCCACAAGUGAUCCCAUCUUGGACUGUGAACUCCUCAGGCAGGAGAUGGAUAUUCACAUCUGGAAGUGGUAGUAACACAUCUGGACAAGUUAAUAUUUAAUUUUUGCUUUUAGAAACAACAGUUUGGUAGUGCUGGAUUUAUAACAGCAUCUAUAUAUGUGUCAGCACAGUCGAUUAGUAUUUAACAGCCACAGGGCUCUAGCUAAGCCAAGGAACAGGACAGCAUAAAUGUCUGAGAUAUAAAAGCCGAAUAAAAGUCAAGAAGGGCAGGAAACCCCUCCAAUCCAAUGUCUCUUUGGACAGGGACUCUUAAUUUCACAAUGCAGAAUGUAACCUAAAGAGAAUUUUCCAAUAAACCUCCUCCACUCUUAUUCUGGAAGGCACAGACCAGCUCAGCUCCCUACAAAAUUCACAACUGCACACCUUAUGAGAAGAAUAGGAGCAAAACAUUCUUAAGCACCCAUAUAUCUGAAAAGCUUAUGGCUCACAUUCAGAAGUACCUGAAGUUUUAUUGACUUUGAAUUUCAUUUCAGAUUUUAAAGAACAUUUUGACUGCCUCUUUGUCUCUAGUACCUGGGAAGUGUUACAGGACCAUGCAGCUCUUCAUAUAUUACAAGCAAACGCUCUGGUAAGUUAAGAAAGGUCAAUAUAGGAAAAAAAAAAAAUCAGGUUUAGCAACUGUGAAAUGGAAACUUUACACCCCAAAAAUCCAAAUAGAAUCACUGGAUUUGUUCAACUACGUACUAUUACUCACUCCCUGUCAUCUGUGUUACUGAACCACCACCCUGCUUCAAAGGCAGUUAUCAGCCCAGAAAUACUUUCAUCCCAGGGUUUCAACUGCAACAUCUGCGAGGGCACGUGGAAGAUUCUUCCGUCAUUAUCUAACCAUUCCGUUCUUGACUGGGAAGGUCUGUGACUAGCGGAGAUGGACAAACAGUUGAAGGGGGAGGUAUCUGACUGUUUAAUAUACAUGCCAAACUCUCUUUCUAGGGUCACGGGGACUCAGCAGUUCCUGGGGGCUGUCAGACUGAUUACACACAGCAAACCAGCCGGUGUGUCUGUGCCGGCUGCUCAGAGUAAGCACUGAUACGCCAGCUGGACUUUACUAUCACGUACAAGCUUAUGUGUGCUUGAGAUGUUGUAUAGCCUUCAACUCCCUGGUGUACUCAGUAAUUUAAAAGCUUUCAUAUACUCUAAAAAGUUUUGUCUUGCACUCCAAGGGGGAUCUUUGCUUCUAAUACAGAGCCCAAGUCUGCAAGUUCCUCGUGGAACACCAGGCUCCCAGCAUAGAUGUACAAUUGUUAAGCAGCAGCUCAUUGCGUUUCAGCAGCGGUAAAAUGAUCCUGGUUUUAUAGUUCUCUACAAUAAUUUCUGUAAAGGCUGUGGGAUUUUGGGGGAUGGAAGGCUAUAAAAACAUAAGUUGCUAGUGAUUAUCUUGACUUGCAUGAUUUUAUGUAUGCCCAUUUUGUGUUGCAGAAAUACUUGGCAGGAAAUGUACUCUUCUUUCUUUUUCACACAUCAUUACAUUGUAUUUGAGAGGAUUUAACACAUUUUCUGAUUUCACUUGACAAAUUCGGGGUUUGUGCUUAAAUUUUACAGCUAACUGGACAUUCCAGAAACUAUGUGUGAUGACCAAUUAUGUUUCUGUAACAUACCUAACUAUGGAAAGAAAUAUUGGAAGAUCUUAACUUUUACAUCAAGGAGCAAAUAUGAGAUUAUCUUUACAAAGAGGCACUGCUUAUUCAGUUCUUAAGAAAAACAUUCAGUUACUGCUACACUAUGUAACUUGUAUGGUCAUUAAUCAUUAUCAGUUCCUGCCCAACCCCCUGUAUAUCCAAAUAUACAUAAAGGAAAGCUAACACAAAUUUUCUUCAUUUGUUUGGCAAAAUUCAUUGCCAUCCAGAAGGCUGCAAAAAUCCCACUCCCUUAUUUGUCAAUACCAGAGUACUCGUGCUGAGUUUGAAAGAUGCCACAUACAGUAUAGUUUUGAAACUUGAACCGUGCAGCCUGAAGUUCAAACCAAAGCACAAAUUCUAACUCUGUAAUACAGAGGGAAAAGAGGUAUUUGUGAUAUAGGCAGCACAGCUACUUGGACAGUAUAGUUCAGGAAAAAAUGUUACUGUUCCAUUAAAGAACUGAGAAAGAAGAAAAACACCAAGCUGCUACAACUGCAUAGGAAAGAGACAAGGGAAACAGAAGGAAGAAAACGACACCAUGUGCAUGAGCUUACCUUGUCUGAACGUGAAGGUGGCCAGAUUAAUUGAUCUUGGGAGAUGCAUAUGGAGUAUGAGAGAAGUUACCUCAGGAAGGCCUCCAGCCAUCCCUCUUGGGAAGGAUUUGAUAAUCUUGCAUUUAUAAACUCGCAACAUUUUGCUUACCUUUUGUGCCAAGCAGUUACGAGAGCUGGUUGAUGUAAGCGAAAGCAGAGGACUAACAGACGGCAGCUCCUCGCUCCUGUUUGCACGGGGAAGCACAAUAGAAAUUGUGGACAUGCCGCCGCAGUUGUGGGUGGCAAUGGUGCCAAGGAUGUAGCGGGUAGGAAGUGACAGCUGGGAAUACAAAAGAAAAAAGCAAUUGGGAUUGGGAACCAACAGGUGGGAGCGGGAAUCAGAAAACUAUAGUAAGAUCUCUGAGGAGGCAGGAACCAAUUCAGACCUUGCUGAGUAAAUCCAUUGGAAGGGCAACCUGAAGAGGAAACAAGAAGCAAGCAGAGAGAACAUAUGUAACUGGAAAGCAAGUACAAAAGGCAAGUUCCUACUUCAUCGAAGCUGCGCUUCUUAGCCUGACCUGCAUUGUAAUAUUAAUCUCUGAAUGAUAUAUUGUAUAUUUUGAUAUAAAA